CGGGACGGGUGAGUAACGCGUGGGUAACCUGCCUCAUACAGGGGGAUAACAGUUAGAAAUGACUGCUAAUACCGCAUAAGACCACAGCACCGCAUGGUGCGGGGGUAAAAACUCCGGUGGUAUGAGAUGGACCCGCGUCUGAUUAGCUAGUUGGUAAGGUAACGGCUUACCAAGGCGAUGAUCAGUAGCCGACCUGAGAGGGUGACCGGCCACAUUGGGACUGAGACACGGCCCAA
rnacentral:rRNA from 1 species